rnacentral:lncRNA from 1 species
GACAAGCAAGACUGAACAGAACAUUGAGAUGGCUUCGAGAAAAGGGGUAAAACAAAUUAUGCAAGAGAUGCUCUGGCUUCUAGUGCUCUGGUGAGUCCUAAUUUCUUCAAUCAGUGUAGUCAAAUGGUUACCAUUGUGGCACUAUAGCAUCAUAGUGGAAUUUAGAGAAACUGCUAUUGUUUUGCAAUACACAAUUAAGUGCAAACUGUUGUCAAAUUGCACUAAAGUAGUGCUAUAGCACUAUUGUGUAGCGGAAUUCAAAUGAAAAUACUCCCUCAAUCCCAAAUUAUAAUUCACUUUGUCAAAAAUAUAUGUCCCAAAUUAUAAGUCACUUUACAAUUGUAAUGCAAGAUUAAUGAUUUUUUUCCAAUAUAUCCUCCAUCAUUUAUUACUAUUUCUUUUUUCAAUUCUUUAAAUUUUUCUUUCAUUUAUAAUAAAUGAAGGACAAUAUUGUAAAGUCAUGCAUAAUUUAUCUUCCCAUACAACAAUCACUAUGUUUCUUAAUUUGCGUAAAAGAUGUCAAACUUCUUAUAUUAUAAUUUGGAACACUUUUCUUAAUUUGUGUAAAAGAUUUCAAACUUCUUAGAGUAUCUCCAGCGGUAGUUUUUCAACCCAGUUUGCCAGGGUGGAACAACAAUGAGGGCAGUUUUUUCAGGGUUUAAUGGUUGGAGUUCGCCAACAUGGCAAUGCCAGUGCUUCAGCAUGCAACGGUUAUUUUCUUUUUUUCUAUUUUUUUAUUUAGAAAGUAGCCUGCUAUUCCUUCAUCAUGCAACGGUUACUUUUUUUUUAUUUUUAUUUUUUUAUUUAGAAAGUAGCCGUUCAACGGCUACUUAUUUAUUUAUUUAUUUUUAACAUAUUUUUUAUUAUAAAUAUAAUUUUGGUUUCCAAAAAUUUACCAACACAAAUUUCUCUCACUUUUAUUUUCUCUUCAAUUUGAAAUUUCUCUCUCACAAUUUCAUCAUUUUAUUCUAAGCUUUUAAUUUUUUUUCAAACAAAUUUUUCUCAUUAGCAUUUUUUUUACAAAAUAUUUAACUACAAAAUUUCAUCUUUUUACUUCAAAUUACAAUUGUUUAGGCCAAAUGGUACCUAACAUUUUCAUUAUCAACAAGCUUUUUUCAAUUACAUGCAAAUUAUCAAAAUCCUAAUCCUCAAAAUUCCUCAAAUUCCACCGGUGCCAACAAAACCCCGCCAUAUUCUUCCGUCACCAAACAAUCCAAAUGUACUAUCCUAUCCUCAAAUGAAUUCUAAAGUAUGAAUCCUCUACUGCAAGUUCCAACAUUUUCUACUCAAGUCCCACCAUUUUCUACUCAAGUUCGUACUGAAAAGAAGAAAGGUGUCGUUAAAAAAAAUCUCGAGAGCAAUUUACAAGGGAAGAGAAAUAUACUACUUAUCCAAUCAUGGCUCAAUGUUUCAAAUGAUCCGAAUUGUGGAGUGAUCAAAAGGCUGAGAGUUUUUGGUUAAGAAUUGCUGCUAGUUAUAACCAAUAUUCGUGGGCAAUUGCGGGGAAAAGUUGCGACCUAUAAAAUGUCGACGGCAUAGAAUAAAUGCAUGGUUCAAAAUUUGUUGGGUGUUACAAAAUUUGCUCUAAAGAAAAGAAAAGUGGACAUCGAGACCGAUGUCAUGGCAGAUGCACAUGCUAUUUUUUGUUCAGGAUCAAGGUACAAUAUUCAAUCUUGAGUAUGCAUGCGAUUGUUAAAAGAUGAAGCUAAAUGGCGCAUCGUCGAAGAAUCGAUUGGAAUGUCUGCAAAAAAUACAAGACUUAUGCUAGUGGGGCAUCAUCGGAGAACCCAGAUACAACUUCAAGUAUGAGUUUAAUCUCAUCCUCACCAUGGCGUCCAAUGGGACAAAAAGCAGCAAAAAGGAAGGGUAAGGCAUCAAAAUUCCAAAUGCAACGCAAGAUGCAAAGAAUAAAAAGAGCAAUAACAAUGGACAGACUUGCGCAAGCAAGGAGGACGAGCUAGAAUUAAGGGUAGUGCAAAUGAUGAUGAAAGACACUUCUACUAUGAACGAUAGUCAACGAGAUAUUCGUGAAAAAAAUAUGUAAUAAGAUGAAAAAAAAUAUGGAAUGUAGUUAGUAUCACUAUUAAAAUGUCAUUAGACCACUUUAAUUAUCACACCUAUGUAAAAUGGUCAUUAGACCACUUAAUUAAACUACCGUUAUUCAAACCUACACUUUAAUUUAAACUAGCCGUUAUUCAAACUAGCCGUUAUUCAAACCAUUAUAUAUACUCCACCUUAUGUCAUUGUUCUCUCAUUCUCAUCUUUAUCUCUCAUUUUCUCUCAUUCUUUACUCACUAAAUGGAUUCAGACAAUUCAGAUAAUUACGAUCAAGAAUUUUGGGAGUUGGUUGAAAGAAGAAUUUAUGGACGACAGUGAUGAAGAACAACAACUUCAGAAUGAACGUCGAUCUGGAAGUUCCUCUAGGCCAAGAGAGAAAAACAACGGUAGAUCGAGGUCGUGAAGAAGGGCCAACAAUCGAUUAUUCAAUGACUAUCUCGAAAACCCAGUAUAAUAACAGAUGUUCAAUUCCGAAGAAGGUUCAGAUGCAAGACAUGUAUUUCUUCGAAUUGUAGAUGCCCUGGAAAUCAUGAUGAAUAUUUCCAAUGAGGGUCGAUGCAACUGGUAAAAUGAGUCUUUCACCAUUGCAGAAUAGUACAUUGCUAUUCGUUAUGCUGGCGUAUGGGUCUCCUGCUGACCUUGUAGACGAAUAUGUUCGAAUCGGUGAAAGCACUUCAAUUGGUGCUUAGAAAGAUUUGUUAAGGUGUCAAUGUUGUAUUGGCGCUGAGUAUUUGAGAAGCCUAACAACACUGAUGUUGAACAUCUUUUACAAAUGGAGAGUCACGUGGCUUUUCCAGAUAUGUGGGUUCCAUCGAUUGUAUGCAUUGGGUAUGAAAAAUUGUCCUGUUGCAUGGAAAGGACAAUUUUGUCGAGUGAUCAUGGUAAGCCCAUAAUCAUGCUUGAAGCAGUGGCAUCACAAGACUUAUGGAUUGGCAUGCUUUUUUUGGUAUUGCAGCAUAGUUAACAAACAGACAUUAUUGCUAAACCAAUCCAACGUUUAACGAUAUUUGGAAGGACGUGCUCCCAAUGCCGCAAUAUACAUAUCAAUGACACCAUAUAAUAUGGGUAUUAUUUAGCAGAUGGUAUAUACCGAGUGGGCUACAUUGUCAAGACUAUUUCCAAUGCCACAGGGAGAAAAAGAAAAAAUUAUUUGCUCAACAUCAAGAAUCGGCUAGAAAAGAUGUGGAGCGAGUAUUUGGAGUGCUUCAAUCUCGAUUUGCAAUUAUACGUGGCCAGCGCUGUGCCUGCACAUGGACACUCUCAAGCAUACCAUAUAUGCCUGCAUCAUAUUGCACAACAUGAUUGUGGAAGAUGAGCGACAUACAUAUGGAGGUAAUUUUGAUUACUCUAUGGAUAAUGUGGAUAUCAUAACUCAACACUGAAACAUUAGCGGUCCUCAUCCGAACUUGCAACAGACACAAAGAAAGAGCAAGUAUUCAAGAAACAAGUUCAUCGUAAACUUCAAGGAGAUCUAGUCGAAUAUAUUUGGGAACGUUAGGCAUGAAAUGAAAUGAAAUUUAAGUUUGAUUAAUUAUGUGAUGUUAUUUAUUUUAUUGUUUUUAAUUAUAUUCAUGUAUUUGAGAUAAUUUUAAUUAUCAUUUAAAAUUAUAAAUUUAAUUAAAUUUUUUAUUUUAUAUCAAAUUUAAUUUAAUAACACUAAAAUUAUUAUUUUAAUUAAUAUAAAAUUUAAUAUGAAUAAAAUAUUAAUAUAUAAAAUAAAGUUGUGAGAUCCAAUCUGAGUUCUUCAGAGUUGCACCAUUGGAGUGAAAAAAUAGUUGAGUUGCUUCAAGCUGACGUGGCUUAAUAGGUCCCACAAAGAACCCAAAAAUGGGUUCACGGUUGGAGACGCUCUUAUAAUUUGAGGUUGUUUCUUAAUUUGCGUAAAAGAUGUCAAACUUCUUAUAAUUUGGGAUGGAGGGGGUAAGAGUGUGCAGAAUAUAGAUAAUCAUGAUGGAAAAGUGAUUUACAAGCCAUACAGACUAAAUAUAAUCUAGAAAGUAACUCAAAAAAUACAAUCAAGAAAACAUGGUUAAGUUGCACAAUCUUCAUUUAUUUGAACUCUUAUGGCUUUCAGUUUCCUCAUGUGAAUCUCACUUGACAUUCAAAGGAUGAUAAACAAAACGCAACAGUAAAAGAUCAUCUUUUCUUCUCACCGAAAUUCCGAAUUGCUCUGUCAUGUCCAGUUCUUCACUUUUGGUUCCAAUUGGUAGCUUCCAGUCAAAAUGAUACAACAACAUUGCAAGGGUAAGGUCAAUAUUUCUCAAACCAAAUGUGCUCCCUGGGCAUAUUCUUCUUCCAGCACCAAAAGGAAUGUACUCAAAAUUUCAAUUGGUAGCUUCCAGUCAAAAUGAUACAACAACAUUGCAAGGGUAAGGUCAAUAUUUCUCAAACCAAAUGUGCUCCCUGGGCAUAUUCUUCUUCCAGCACCAAAAGGAAUGUACUCAAAAUUACUCCCUUUAUAGUCAAUAGUGCU